AAGAAAAUGCGGGGGAGCCGCUUGGCUGAGAGUCCGGUGUGAUACUGGAGACCCCUUGAACCUGAUGCGGGUAAUGCCGCCGAAGGAAGCGAGGUAGCCAUGCGU
rfam:Verrucomicrobia bacterium 13_2_20CM_55_10 13_2_20cm_scaffold_283, whole genome shotgun sequence.